rfam:Triticum aestivum genome assembly, contig: Triticum_aestivum_CS42_TGACv1_scaffold_147727_2BS
UUCAUAUUAGCUCCGUCCGAAAAUACUUAUCAUCAAAAUAAAUAAAUAAAAGAUGUAUCUAAGCGUAUCUUAGUUACGUCUCUUUUUAUCUAUUUUGAUGACAAGUAUUUUCGGACGAAGGGAGUACGAG